GAUGAACGCUAGCGAUAGGCCUAACACAUGCAAGUCGAGGGGCAUCACAUGAAGUAGCAAUACGGAUGGUGGCGACCGGCGCACGGGUGAGUAACACGUAUGCAACCUGCCUUCAACAAGGGGAUAACCCGUUGAAAGACGGACUAAUACCCUAUAACACAGGGGUCCCGCAUGGGGAAUAUUUGUUAAAGGACAACCGGUUGAAGAUGGGCAUGCGUUCCAUUAGCUAGUUGGCGGGGUAACGGCCCACCAAGGCAACGAUGGAUAGGGGAACUGAGAGGUUUAUCCCCCACACUGGUACUGAGACACGGACCAGACUCCUACGGGAGGCAGCAGUGAGGAAUAUUGGUCAAUGGACGCAAGUCUGAACCAGCCACGUCGCGUGAAGGAAGACGGCCCUACGGGUUGUAAACUUCUUUUAUACGGGAAUAAAGUGCCCCACGCGUGGGGUUUUGCAUGUACCGUAUGAAU
rnacentral:rRNA from 1 species